rnacentral:rRNA from 1 species
UGUAGUGUUACUGACGCUAAAGCUCGAAAGUGCGGGUAUCGAACAGGAUUAGAUACCCUGGUAGUCCGCACGGUAAACGAUGGAUGCCCGCUGUUUGCCCUUCGGGGUGAGUGGCUAAGCGAAAGCGUUAAGCAUCCCACCUGGGGAGUACGCCGGCAACGGUGAAACUCAAAGGAAUUGACGGGGGCCCGCACAAGCGGAGGAACAUGUGGUUUAAUUCGAUGAUACGCGAGGAACCUUACCCGGGCUUGAAUUGCAGAUGACGGAUCUAGAGAUAGUGACUUCCUUCGGGACAUCUGUGAAGGUGCUGCAUGGUUGUCGUCAGCUCGUGCCGUGAGGUGUCGGCUUAAGUGCCAUAACGAGCGCAACCCUUCUCUUCAGUUGCCAUCAGGUCAAGCUGGGCACUCUGGAGACACUGCCACCGUAAGGUGUGAGGAAGGUGGGGAUGACGUCAAAUCAGCACGGCCUUUACGUCCGGGGCUACACACGUGUUACAAUGGCCGGUACAGAAAGUCGGAUGCCCGUAAGGUCAUUCUAAUCAAGAAAGCCGGUCCCAGUUCGGACUGAGGUCUGCAACCCGACCUCACGAAGCUGGAUUCGC